UUCCUGGUGGUCCAGUGGCUAAGACACCAUACUUCCAAUGUAGGGGGCCUGGGUUCGAUCCCUAGUCAGGGAG
rfam:Ovis aries breed Texel chromosome 7, whole genome shotgun sequence.